GUACUUACUUUAGCAGCACAUAUACUAAAUUUGGAACCAUACAGAGAAGAUUAGCAUGGCCCCUGCACAAGGAUGGCAUGUAAAUUUGUGAAGCAUUCCAUACUAAA